UAGAGUUACUCAUUCCAAUCUAUCUAAACCCCAACAUAAAGAAAACACAAAAAACAAAGUAUAUAUUAAUUUCUCAUAUAUCGAUCCUCCAAAAUGUCAACAGCUCCUAUCAUCGGUGACAAUGAUGUGAAUCCAGUCAUUUUUAGAGAAUACAUUGGCGUGAAGUCCUACCCAGAUUCUUUAAAUAAUUUCCCAGCUGAUAUUAUCGGCCGCCACAUCCCUGAAUUCCAUUUCAUUUUGGGCUUUGCCCAUGAGACUUACGUCGAUGGAAAAGGCACCGGAAUUUUCAACGCCAGUUGGAAGAUUCCUUUCUUCGGUCCAGACAAUGUUGAUGAUAUCAAGACCAACCAUGGCAAUGUGAAGGUGGUAAUAAGCAUUGGAGGCCGUGAUACUAAAUAUCCAUUCCAUCCUGCACACAAACUCGAAUGGUGUGACAAUGCUGUCGAAUCCCUUAAAAAAAUCUUCCAAUUAUACAACAGAACCAACUCCUGCUACAAUUUAAUUGAUGGCAUUGAUAUCAACUAUGAGUACAUCCAUCCAGAUGUUAGUGAAGAAGAUUUCUCCUACUGCAUCGGGAACGUUAUAAAAAGACUCAAGAAAGAUGUAGGCAUCGAUGUGGUAUCCAUUGCUCCAUCGCAUGAAACCCAAAAACACUACAAGACACUCUACUUGGCUCGCACCAACGAUAUUAAUUGGGUUAACUACCAAUUCUAUAUCGAUACUCUCAAGUCAAAGGACGAGUUUGUGAACCUCUUUCUUAAUCUAUCAGAUGAAUACGGUUCUAAAAAACUUCUAGCGGGAGCCAGCACCGAUCCAGCUGACGCCGGUAAAGGUAAACUUUCACGAGAGGACUUCCUUGAGGGUUGUGUCGAUCUCCACAGCACUCAGUCACUUCGUGGCAUUUUCAUUUGGAAUGCCAAUGACUCCGCGUCAAACCCCAAUGGAAAACCAUUCUCCCUCGAGAAAAAAGCACAAGAGAUCCUCAAUAAUUAAAUCAUCAUAAUUAAUUACUAGCUAUAUAUAGCUGGUAAUUAAAAGUCAAAUUCACUAUAUAUCUAUUUUUAAUUAUUCGGGUCAUCCAUCAGACUAAUUGGUUAGGUCGUUUGUCCGAGCAAUAGUCUGUUACAUCUUCUAAAUAAUUAACACCCGAGAGUACUUUUAUUUUGUAUGUGUGUUUCGUGUGCCGCACAAAUUCCUUGUGUUCCUUGCAUCAGUGUUAUAUUUUAAUGAAUGAAUUUUGAUGUUUUUUAUUUUUAUUUACUUCA